rnacentral:ncRNA from 1 species
UUGCCGUGACACGGGAGCUCGUGCACGGGCUGAGAGGAAGGUUGGGUCCAAGGUGGGCCGAGGCCUUCGACCGUCAAACCUGAUCUGGGCAAUGCCAGCGCAGGGAGACCUCUUGGGGAAUCG